UACAGAGGGGGCGAGCGUUGUUCGGAAUUACUGGGCGUAAAGGGCGCGUAGGCGGCCUUCUAAGUCGAACGUGAAAUCCCCGGGCUCAACCCGGGAACUGCGUCCGAUACUGGGAGGCUUGAAUCCGGGAGAGGGAUGUGGAAUUCCAGGUGUAGCGGUGAAAUGCGUAGAUAUCUGGAGGAACACCGGUGGCGAAGGCAGCAUCCUGGACCGGUAUUGACGCUGAGGCGCGAAAGCUAGGGGAGCAAACGGG
rnacentral:rRNA from 1 species